rnacentral:rRNA from 1 species
GAUGAACGCUGGCGGCGUGCCUAAUACAUGCAAGUCGAGCGAACAGACGAGGAGCUUGCUCCUCUGACGUUAGCGGCGGACGGGUGAGUAACACGUGGAUAACCUACCUAUAAGACUGGGAUAACUUCGGGAAACCGGAGCUAAUACCGGAUAAUAUAUUGAACCGCAUGGUUCAAUAGUGAAAGACGGUUUUGCUGUCACUUAUCGAUGGAUCCGCGCCGCAUUAGCUAGUUGGUAAGGUAAAGGCUUACCAAGGCAACGAUGCGUAGCCGACCUGAGAGGGUGAUCGGCCACACUGGAACUGAGACACGGUCCAGACGCCUACGGGAGGCAGCAGUAGGGAAUCUUCCGCAAUGGGCGAAAGCUUGACGGAGCAACGCCGCGUGAGUGAUGAAGGUCUUCGGAUCGUAAAACUCUGUUAUUAGGGAAGAACAAAUGUGUAAGUAACUAUGCACGUCUUGACGGUACCUAAUCAGAAAGCCACGGCUAACUACGUG